rnacentral:snoRNA from 1 species
UGCCUUUGUGUUACCCAUUCACUAUCUCUCACAGUGAACGUGGCGUCAGAAAAGGCAUACAAAAACUCUUGCUGAAAUUGUUGUGGGAGAUGGUUAUGUACCUUUUCUCUUCUCAAUUCUGCAAGGACAGAA